rnacentral:rRNA from 1 species
AACGAACGCUGGCGGCAGGCUUAACACAUGCAAGUCGAGCGCCCCGCAAGGGGAGCGGCCGACGGGUGAGUAACGCGUGGGAACGUACCUUUUGGUUCGGAACAACUCCGGGAAACUGGAGCUAAUACCGGAUGAGCCCUAACGGGGAAAGAUUUAUCGCCGAAAGAUCGGCCCGCGUCUGAUUAGCUAGUUGGUGAGGUAACGGCUCACCAAGGCGACGAUCAGUAGCUGGUCUGAGAGGAUGAUCAGCCACACUGGGACUGAGACACGGCCCAGACUCCUACGGGAGGCAGCAGUGGGGAAUAUUGGACAAUGGGCGCAAGCCUGAUCCAGCCAUGCCGCGUGAGUGAUGAAGGCCUUAGGGUUGUAAAGCUCUUUUGUCCGGGAAGAUAAUGACUGUACCGGAAGAAUAAGCCCCGGCUAACUUCGUG